ACCGAAAGACUCCAAAAAGAGGGGGCCUGCUGUGAUGGGGAAAUCAGGAGUCCUUUUAGCUGACAGAGUGCUGGUGUUCAGAAGAGCUGCUGUUUUCUCAACACCAUGAGAUACCUGACCAAAUCUGCCCAAAAGAGUGGCAGAUGUAGCAGCAUCCUUGACCAUCCUUGUGCAGGCUGUGGAGCAAUGGCUGGACACAAGUAUUUAAUAUCUACAACACAGGAGGAUCAAGGCACACUACAGAGGUGGACCUAGUGAGGGGGUAGGAGCAAAGAGCUUUAUAGGCACCAUCCCUGCCCCCAUGGCCAUCAUUUUCCCACUUAGGAAGAAACCACUUGCAUUUGGAUCCAGUCCUACAGAAAUGAGUCAUUACAGCAAA
rnacentral:lncRNA from 1 species